CCGAGUUUACAACUCCCAAACCCCUGUGAACAUACCCUUAUGUUGCCUCGGCGGAUCAGCCCGCGCCCGUAAAACGGGACGGCCCGCCAGAGGAACCCUAAACUCUGUUUCUAUAGUGGAACUUCUGAGUAUAAAACCAUAAAUAAAUCA
rnacentral:misc_RNA from 1 species